AGCGCCCAGGAAAGUUUCCCGGAGCCCCGUGGCGGCCGCGGCGCCAGAUCCCCCCAGAAGCUGCCUGAGUCCCGCCGCCGCGCCGAGGCUGCGCGCCCCCUGCCGCGGGAAGACCGGCGGGGUUCGGCCAUGGUGGAGACUGGGGGCUUAGAACCUGGGUCCUUCAGCAUUAUAAUAUGUGCCCUGAACUAGAUGUACUACCACCCGUCCCCCAGUAGUUUGAAUCCUUAAGUAAAGGCCUCCCUAUGAAGUUGAUAUUGCUAUUCAUCUGGAACUGGAUUGUAGAAUACAAGGGCACUUCCUUAACCUUAUAAAAAUGUUCUAGAAUUUUUAAUAGGCAAAAGUGGUUGGAACCUCAGUCUUCCAUCACCUCCAAUGGAGGAUUCUCCACAGCAUCGUGCUCCACAGCCCAGCUGGGAGUUGGCUUGGGGCUGUAUUGGUAUGGAAGAGGGCCACCGACUGAAUCAUCGACACCACAUCCUACAGCAUCUCCCAUCCAAGUCUCCCCAGACCCACCCCUGCUGGACACCCAGGUCUGGAGAGAUGACAGCUUCAGAGCAUGUCCUAACAAAUUUUGAGUUUCCAGCCUUUGGUUUUCAUAUUGCAUUUCAAGAUCAACAUCCUUAUUAGCAGCAGUAUAUUUUUCACUUUAAAUUUUUAUAGCAUCUUUUCCAUGGAGAAAUUCAAAGCAGGCUACUGAACUUCAUUACCACACAGGCAGAAAUCCUCAGGACACCUCUAGGAAGGAGAUGUUAAUUAAGUGAGAGAGAAUCUCACCUCUUCUUACAAAGGCCAAUCAUUAAUAACUAAUGAAUGAAAA